rnacentral:rRNA from 1 species
CGGGAAAAGCUCAAAUUUAAAAUCUGGUGGCCCUUCCGCCAUCCGAGUUGUAAUUUGUAGAGGAUACUUUUGAUGCGGUGCCUUCCGAGUUCCCUGGAACGGGACGCCAUAGAGGGUGAGAGCCCCGUCUGGUUGGAUGCCAAAUCUCUGUAAAGUUCCUUCGAC